rnacentral:rRNA from 1 species
AGAGUUUGAUCAUGGCUCAGGAUGAACGCUAGCGGCAGGCUUAAUACAUGCAAGUCGUGGGGCAGCAUGGUGUAGCAAUACACUGAUGGCGACCGGCAAACGGGUGCGGAACACGUACGCAACCUUCCUUUAAGUGGAGAAUAGCCCGGCGAAAGCCGGAUUAAUACUCCGUAACAUUAUGAAGUGGCAUCACUUUAUAAUUAUAGCUCCGGCGCUUAAAGAUGGGCGUGCGUCUGAUUAGGUAGUUGGCGGGGUAACGGCCCACCAAGCCUACGAUCAGUAACUGGUGUGAGAGCACGACCAGUCACACGGGCACUGAGACACGGGCCCGACUCCUACGGGAGGCAGCAGUAAGGAAUAUUGGUCAAUGGACGCAAGUCUGAACCAGCCAUGCCGCGUGAAGGAUGAAGGUCCUCUGGAUUGUAAACUUCUUUUAUUUGGGAAGAAACCCAAGAUUUCUAUUUUGGUUGACGGUACCAGAUGAAUAAGCACCGGCUAACUCCGUGCCAGCAGCCGCGGUAAUACGGAGGGUGCAAGCGUUAUCCGGAUUCACUGGGUUUAAAGGGUGCGUAGGCGGGCAGGUAAGUCCGUGGUGAAAUCUCCAAGCUUAACUUGGAAACUGCCGUGGAUACUAUUUUGUCUUGAAUAUAGUGGAGGUGAGCGGAAUAUCAUGUAGCGGUGAAAUGCUUAGAUAUGACAUAGAACACCCAUUGCGAGGGCAGCUCGCUACACUAUUAUUGACGCUGAGGCACGAAAGCGUGGGGAUCAAACAGGAUUAGAUACCCCAGUAGUCC